UGUUUGUUUUUGCUGCUACUUAUCAGAAAGGUUUAUUUGCAAUUGUUUGAGGGGGGGGGAAACCCCUGUGUAGCCACAGGCAGACAAGCUCAGUGCUCAGGAACAUAAUGGCUGGAGCCCCUGGGCCCAUAUGCUCGCCAUCCUGGGAGGUGGAAGGCCAGCUCUGAUCACAUCCAGCUGCUCAGGAUACAACUGAUCAGGUCCUCACUACCGUGUUUUUGGGCAAGAUACUUUUAGAAGAACACCUCAACCAGAUCAUGCUCUCAAAGACCUGAGCCUUCACUGAUGGCAGGCAAUAAUUUUGCAUUUUGGAGUAUCUUCUUACUCUUAUGCAUGGCAACAUUUAACAGCACACCACCAUCUGCCACAGAAGCACAGACCACUAAUGGCAUCAUAAGAAUAAGUGUGUACCUAUCUAUAUUUUAUUACUCAUGCCAUUUCAGGGUUUUGCAGAUAAUUAACUCUGAAUACUUAUUCAUCUAUUUUCCCUCAAAAAUGUUACCAUUCCACUUAAAACCCUUCUUUGUGGUCCAAGCAGCAGAACACUUAAUCAGACCGAGCAGGGCCGCAGAGCAGCUUUGAAGAGGCCUUAAAAUAUCUGAAAACUCUAAACCCAAGCCAUGGGAAGGGGACUGCUCUCAUCCAGCCUCCCCUUGCUCCCCUCUCCUGUGGCUUGGGGGAGACAGCAGAGCUCCUGAUCCCCCAGGGACAGGGAUACAACCCCCUCAAACCAGAGUGUUUCUCCAACACUGUGUCAGCCCAGACACACUGACCCAAUCCAACACACCACUGAACCAAAAUAUUUUGAUUUGAUAAAACAAACUCAACAACUGUUUAGACUUUGUCUGACCAGACUCACAAUGGAGGUUUCCUUUUCGACUUCCCUAUUUAUUCUCAUCUCUGCCAUCACACAGUUAGGUGAGCAAAGCCAAAGCCAUUCCCUUCUCCUUUCCCCCCUGGAUCCCAAGGGAAUGGCCAGGUCUCCUGGACUGUCUCCCACUGCACUCCUGCAUGGAGCCAACCCAACAGGGCUGUGGAUGGCUUCAGGAAACCCUACACACAGCUAUAAUGAAAAAUUAUUAUUCCAGCAUUUUGCUUUCCAGUUGUUAUACAGGCACUUCCCACAAACCCAGUAUGGGAGUGAAAGGCCUCACUUCAAUUGUUAGUGGGUUUACAGUGUCUUUCCCAACACAUCCCUGUCUCCCUGUUACAACAAACCCACCCUGCUCCUCCCUCAGCCACACCCAAGCUCCAGCUCCCCGUGCACAACCCGAGUGCUCGUGGUGGGAGGUCCCUUUUCACAUCAGAUUAAAGCCAGGCAGAAUCAAUUAAAGCAAAAAGAACGGGGUCUGCUGAGAUGACAGAAGGCAUUUGGGGUAAAAUGUCACAGCUGAAUGCAGGAGAGAUGCCUUGCCCAGGCUCUCCUGUUCCUCCACGGAAGCUGGGGCACAACAUCUCUCCAGAUGACUCCAGACUGCCAGUCCUACCUGAUAGUUUUUUGCAGUGGCUCACGGUGCUAAAUAACAAGGAAGAUCCAAGUCAGAGACAGAUAGAAGAGGAUAUGAAUGUAGGAGAUGAUCAGAGGAGGGACUUCUGCUUUGCCAGACCAUGGCUUGUGCAGCCUCCCCUGGAGCCUCUCCUGGGUGAAUUCACAUCCCACUAUCUCCUGGAUUUGGGCUGGGGAGAGGAAGGUGUGUCUGCUCACGGAUGUGGAGCUGCUCAGGAGCAAGUGCUGCUUCAGAGACUGCCAGACAAAUCCUCCAACUGAUUUCCCAACAUGUGUGAAACCUGUCACAUCAGCAUCUCUUGGAGCUCUAAGCUGGAGACAAAGGCCAUGGAAAAGACUCUUCAGAAGGCAGUAAGCCAUCAGUUCACCUCUUCACCAGGUCUAAUUCUACACAGUUGUCUCAAAAUAAGUGGACCAUCAAGCAUGUUUUGCUAUCAGCCAUCCCCUUUACUUUGACAAGGAGCACAACACUGAGAUACCACAAGACCAGUCCUCCUACAAGGCGGAUUCAUUCUCACUCAGCAUCCAAAGUUCAACUUGGAGGACAAGGAAAAUGAGAGAAAUGGCUAGUGACACUAAGCCUUGAUAGGGUCAUGGGCUUUGCAACAGCUUCGACAUGCAGGAGGGGGAAAACAUCACUCCCAAAGUAAAGGGACAGAGGAAAGAAAUGGAGGAAAGAAAAAGGAAAGGUUGAUGGACAGUUGGACUUGUUGAGGGUGAAAUCAAUUAAAGUGCAUCAAAUCCGGAGUUCAUGCUUUUUCAAAGUGACAAAUAUGUGCUGGAAACUGAGAAAGAUGAGGGGAAAAUAAUGUCUUUGACCUCCCGGAGACCGGCUGUUCCUUCCGUCAGAGGAGCCAGAAGUGAAGUGAGAUGCGUUCAUGAUAAAUUGUAACAGCCAGGCAGCCACCUCAAAAAAGAACGAGGUGAAAAGGUUACAGAAGGGACCCAAAAUGCGAAGAAUUCAACCAAACAUCAAGAUAAAUCAACUCAGGCCCUUGUGUGUGCAUACCCAGCCUUCACAGAGCUGCUGUGGCUCAGCUCAGCUCGUGCAGCCUUGCUGGAAGUGUAAGAGAGAGACACACACACAUCUUGUUUACAAAAGCUCUGGAAAACACCCUUACAAAGGGCUGGCUCACCUCAGCCUUCCCAGGGGAAGGGAUGCAGUGGCCACCCCACCUGCCAUCCUGUUUUGGAGUUUGUUAGACAAUUAGGACAUUUCUUUGAGGCACAUAAAUAUCUCUGACAAUCCUGUGUUCAGCUAAACUCAGCUUUCCAAGAGUUGGAUGCCUCUCUCCCAAUAAAGCAAACAAUAAAAUAUUCACACUUCUAAAAGUUUCAGAGCCUUGGUAUCUCUUAUUUUCUCUUGCACUUUGAAUUUCCUGGUUUUGAGAUUCAAAGCAGGGUAUAAAUAUUUGUCUGGGUGCUUCCACCAACACGGCAACUUUGGAUCCUUUCCCUUGCUAACAACCAGAAAUUAUUAACUCUGA